UUUAUGGGGUGACUGCGUACCUUUUGUAUAAUGGGUCAGCGACUUAUAUUCUGUAGCAAGGUUAACCGAAUAGGGGAGCCGAAGGGAAACCGAGUCUUAACUGGGCGUUAAGUUGCAGGGUAUAGACCCGAAACCCGGUGAUCUAGCCAUGGGCAGGUUGAAGGUUGGGUAACACUAACUGGAGGACCGAACCGACUAAUGUUGAAAAAUUAGCGGAUGACUUGUGGCUGGGGGUGAAAGGCCAAUCAAACCGGGAGAUAGCUGGUUCUCCCCGAAAGCUAUUUAGGUAGCGCCUCGUGAAUUCAUCUCCGGGGGUAGAGCACUGUUUCGGCAAGGGGGUCAUCCCGACUUACCAACCCGAUGCAAACUGCGAAUACCGGAGAAUGUUAUCACGGGAGACACACGGCGGGUGCUAACGUCCGUCGUGAAGAGGGAAACAACCCAGACCGCCAGCUAAGGUCCCAAAGUCAUGGUUAAGUGGGAAACGAUGUGGGAAGGCCCAGACAGCCAGGAUGUUGGCUUAGAAGCAGCCAUCAUUUAAAGAAAGCGUAAUAGCUCACUGGUCGAGUCGGCCUGCGCGGAAGAUGUAACGGGGCUAAACCAUGCACCGAAGCUGCGGCAGCGACACUAUGUGUUGUUGGGUAGGGGAGCGUUCUGUAAGCCUGUGAAGGUGUGCUGUGAGGUAUGCUGGAGGUAUCAGAAGUGCGAAUGCUGACAUAAGUAACGAUAAAGCGGGUGAAAAGCCCGCUCGCCGGAAGACCAAGGGUUCCUGUCCAACGUUAAUCGGGGCAGGGUGAGUCGACCCCUAAGGCGAGGCCGAAAGGCGUAGUCGAUGGGAAACAGGUUAAUAUUCCUGUACUUGGUGUUACUGCGAAGGGGGGACGGAGAAGGCUAUGUUGGCCGGGCGACGGUUGUCCCGGUUUAAGCGUGUAGGCUGGUUUUCCAGGCAAAUCCGGAAAAUCAAGGCUGAGGCGUGAUGACGAGGCACUACGGUGCUGAAGCAACAAAUGCCCUGCUUCCAGGAAAAGCCUCUAAGCAUCAGGUAACAUCAAAUCGUACCCCAAACCGACACAGGUGGUCAGGUAGAGAAUACCAAGGCGCUUGAGAGAACUCGGGUGAAGGAACUAGGCAAAAUGGUGCCGUAACUUCGGGAGAAGGCACGCUGAUAUGUAGGUGAAGUCCCUUGCGGAUGGAGCUGAAAUCAGUCGAAGAUACCAGCUGGCUGCAACUGUUUAUUAAAAACACAGCACUGUGCAAACACGAAAGUGGACGUAUACGGUGUGACGCCUGCCCGGUGCCGGAAGGUUAAUUGAUGGGGUUAGCGGUAACGCGAAGCUCUUGAUCGAAGCCCCGGUAAACGGCGGCCGUAACUAUAACGGUCCUAAGGUAGCGAAAUUCCUUGUCGGGUAAGUUCCGACCUGCACGAAUGGCGUAAUGAUGGCCAGGCUGUCUCCACCCGAGACUCAGUGAAAUUGAACUCGCUGUGAAGAUGCAGUGUACCCGCGGCAAGACGGAAAGACCCCGUGAACCUUUACUAUAGCUUGACACUGAACAUUGAGCCUUGAUGUGUAGGAUAGGUGGGAGGCUUUGAAGUGUGGACGCCAGUCUGCAUGGAGCCGACCUUGAAAUACCACCCUUUAAUGUUUGAUGUUCUAACGUUGGCCCCUGAUCGGGGUUGCGGACAGUGUCUGGUGGGUAGUUUGACUGGGGCGGUCUCCUCCUAAAGAGUAACGGAGGAGCACGAAGGUUGGCUAAUCCUGGUCGGACAUCAGGAGGUUAGUGCAAUGGCAUAAGCCAGCUUGACUGCGAGCGUGACGGCGCGAGCAGGUGCGAAAGCAGGUCAUAGUGAUCCGGUGGUUCUGAAUGGAAGGGCCAUCGCUCAACGGAUAAAAGGUACUCCGGGGAUAACAGGCUGAUACCGCCCAAGAGUUCAUAUCGACGGCGGUGUUUGGCACCUCGAUGUCGGCUCAUCACAUCCUGGGGCUGAAGUAGGUCCCAAGGGUAUGGCUGUUCGCCAUUUAAAGUGGUACGCGAGCUGGGUUUAGAACGUCGUGAGACAGUUCGGUCCCUAUCUGCCGUGGGCGCUGGAGAACUGAGGGGGGCUGCUCCUAGUACGAGAGGACCGGAGUGGACGCAUCACUGGUGUUCGGGUUGUCAUGCCAAUGGCACUGCCCGGUAGCUAAAUGCGGAAGAGAUAAGUGCUGAAAGCAUCUAAGCACGAAACUUGCCCCGAGAUGAGUUCUCCCUGACUCCUUGA
rnacentral:rRNA from 2 species